UUCGGACACCCCACCCGCUCCUCCGACUGAGGCUCCUGGAGCAGCGAGCCCCGAUGCUUCAACCCCUGGUCCUUCUGUAGCUGACGAUCAGAGUGGAGCAGUGAGGUGCCUGCACAAGGUAGUCGGAUCCAUUGCAUUGGGAUGGGCAGUUUUGGCAUUAUUCUAGAGAUUUGAGAUUGGGAGCUGCAGGUGGUGUACCUGAAAUCUGAAAUGGAACAAGGACGGUGUUAAUUUGUUGUAAUGUUGGUCCUUAUUAUUUUAAUCUUUUGUCCACCGUUGUGUUCAUUAUUUAUUUACCAUUUAUUCUAGUCGGAUCUAGAACAAGAAUUCAUAUUUAUUUACCAUUUAUUUCUCUUUUAAAAAAACCACUUUUAUUAAUUUAUUAUCCUCUGUAUUCUUUUGACACAUCCCAAUUCACUCGCUCCUUUGUCU